GUAGGUGAACCUGCGGAAGGAUCAUUAACACGUAUCCACGUAUCAACCCCUUGUGCUUUUUUACGUUUUGGUUACCCUGUCUUGAGUGAUUACCCUUUCAGGCUUGUGUGGGAUGGAAUGGACUUUGGCUCCUUCGGGGGUCAAGGUUGCCCGUACAGCUGUUGUUUGACGCGAGUCAAGCAUCGGGGUUUUCGCUCUACCGUCACAGGGCAUUUUAUUCAUGUAACCAUUCUACAUGGAGCUUUAUUACAACUAUAAACCCCUUUGUAUCUUAUCUUGCUAACGCAAUUUGAAGCCGCUGAACGAACAGCUCCUCGGAGCCUGUAGUAGUUUGGUACUUCAUGAUUACGAAAUGCUUGACAACUCUUAGCAACGGAUAUCUUGGUUCUC
rnacentral:misc_RNA from 1 species